GGGCUGUUAGCUCAGUUGGUAGAGCACCUGCUUUGCAAGCAGGGGGUCAUCGGUUCGAAUCCGAUACAGUCCA
rnacentral:tRNA from 1 species